rnacentral:rRNA from 1 species
GUAUCCUUACCUGAAUACAUAGGGUAAGGAGGCGAACCGGGGGAACUGAAACAUCUAAGUACCCCGAGGAAAAGAAAUCAACCGAGAUUCCGAAAGUAGCGGCGAGCGAAAUUGGACUAGCCCUUAAGCUUUACACGCGUUAGACGAACGGUCUGGAAAGUCCGACGAUACAGGGUGAUAGUCCCGUAGUUGACGACGUGUGUUCAGUGAAAUCGAGUAGGGCGGGACACGUGAUAUCCUGUCUGAAUAUGGGGGGACCAUCCUCCAAGGCUAAAUACUACUGACUGACCGAUAGUGAACCAGUACCGUGAGGGAAAGGCGAAAAGAACCCCUGUGAGGGGAGUGAAAUAGAACCUGAAACCGUGUACGUACAAGCAGUAGGAGCAGGCUUUGUCCUGUGACUGCGUACCUUUUGUAUAAUGGGUCAGCGACUUAUAUUCAGUGGCAAGGUUAACCAUCUAGGGGAGCCGUAGGGAAACCGAGUCUUAACUGGGCGUUCAGUCUCUGGAUAUAGACCCGAAACCAGGUGAUCUAGCCAUGGGCAGGUUGAAGGUUGAGUAACAUCAACUGGAGGACCGAACCGACUAAUGUUGAAAAAUUAGCGGAUGACUUGUGGCUAGGGGUGAAAGGCCAAUCAAACCUGGAGAUAGCUGGUUCUCCCCGAAAGCUAUUUAGGUAGCGCCUCGGACGAAUACUACUGGGGGUAGAGCACUGUUAAGGCUAGGGGGUCAUCCCGACUUACCAACCCUUUGCAAACUCCGAAUACCAGUAAGUACUAUCCGGGAGACACACGGCGGGUGCUAACGUCCGUCGUGGAGAGGGAAACAACCCAGACCGCCAGCUAAGGUCCCAAAUUACUACUAAGUGGGAAACGAUGUGGGAAGGCUCAGACAGCCAGGAUGUUGGCUUAGAAGCAGCCAUCAUUUAAAGAAAGCGUAAUAGCUCACUGGUCGAGUCGGCCUGCGCGGAAGAUGUAACGGGGCUAAGUAGUAAACCGAAGCUGCGGCAAUGUGCUUUUGCACAUUGGGUAGGGGAGCGUUCUGUAAGCGGUUGAAGGUGUGUGGUAACGCAUGCUGGACGUAUCAGAAGUGCGAAUGCUGACAUGAGUAACGAUAAAGGGGGUGAAAAACCUCCUCGCCGGAAGACCAAGGGUUCCUGUCCAACGUUAAUCGGGGCAGGGUAAGUCGACCCUAAGGCGAGGCCGAAAGGCGUAGUCGAUGGGAAACGGGUUAAUAUUCCCGUACUUCUUACAAUUGCGAUGGGGGGACGGAGAAGGCUAGGUGGGCCUGGCGACGGUUGUCCAGGUUCAAGUGCGUAGGCUUAAGAGUUAGGUAAAUCCGGCUCUUUUUAAGGCUGAGACACGACGUCGAGCAUCUACGGAUGUGAAGUCAUUGAUGCCAUGCUUCCAGGAAAAGCCUCUAAGCUUCAGAUUGUAAGGAAUCGUACCCCAAACCGACACAGGUGGUCGGGUAGAGAAUACCAAGGCGCUUGAGAGAACUCGGGUGAAGGAACUAGGCAAAAUGGUACCGUAACUUCGGGAGAAGGUACGCUCUCGACGGUGAAGUCCCUCGCGGAUGGAGCUAUUGAGAGUCGCAGAUACCAGGUGGCUGCAACUGUUUAUUAAAAACACAGCACUGUGCAAAAUCGUAAGAUGACGUAUACGGUGUGACGCCUGCCCGGUGCCGGAAGGUUAAUUGAUGGGGUUAGACUUCGGUCGAAGCUCUUGAUCGAAGCCCCGGUAAACGGCGGCCGUAACUAUAACGGUCCUAAGGUAGCGAAAUUCCUUGUCGGGUAAGUUCCGACCUGCACGAAUGGCGUAAUGAUGGCCACGCUGUCUCCACCCGAGACUCAGUGAAAUUGAAAUCGCUGUGAAGAUGCAGUGUACCCGCGGCUAGACGGAAAGACCCCGUGAACCUUUACUACAGCUUGGCACUGAACAUUGACCCUACAUGUGUAGGAUAGGUGGGAGGCUUUGAAGCACGUACGCCAGUAUGUGUGGAGCCGUCCUUGAAAUACCACCCUUGUAGUGUUGAUGUUCUAACGUCGACCCCUUAUCGGGGUUGCGGACAGUGCCUGGUGGGUAGUUUGACUGGGGCGGUCUCCUCCCAAAGAGUAACGGAGGAGCACGAAGGUGGGCUAAUCACGGUUGGACAUCGUGAGGUUAGUGCAAUGGCAUAAGCCCGCUUGACUGCGAGAAUGACAAUUCGAGCAGGUGCGAAAGCAGGUCAUAGUGAUCCGGUGGUUCUGAAUGGAAGGGCCAUCGCUCAACGGAUAAAAGGUACUCCGGGGAUAACAGGCUGAUACCGCCCAAGAGUUCAUAUCGACGGCGGUGUUUGGCACCUCGAUGUCGGCUCAUCACAUCCUGGGGCUGAAGUCGGUCCCAAGGGUAUGGCUGUUCGCCAUUUAAAGUGGUACGCGAGCUGGGUUUAGAACGUCGUGAGACAGUUCGGUCCCUAUCUGCCGUGGGCGUUGGAAGAUUGAAGGGGGCUGCUCCUAGUACGAGAGGACCGGAGUGGACGAACCUCUGGUGUUCGGGUUGUGUCGCCAGACGCAUUGCCCGGUAGCUAAGUUCGGAAUCGAUAACCGCUGAAAGCAUCUAAGCGGGAAGCGAGCCCUGAGAUGAGUCUUCCCUGAUACUUUAAGUAUCCUAAAGGGUUGUCGGAGACUACGACGUUGAUAGGUCAGGUGUGUAAGUGCUGUGAGGCAUUGAGCUAACUGAUACUAAUUGCCCGUGAGGCUUAACCAUACAACACCUAAGGGGUUU